rnacentral:tRNA from 1 species
CUAAAGCUAGUUUAAUUUCAAAUAAGUGCUUUGGGAGCACUAGUUCCUUAUUCAUUUAGGGGCUUUAGA